rnacentral:rRNA from 1 species
GAGUUUGAUCGUGGCUCAGGAUGAACGCUAGCGGCAGGCCUAAUACAUGCAAGUCGAACGGUAAGUAGUGUAGCAAUACAUUACCAAGAGUGACGUACGGGUGCGUAACACGUAUGCAACCUACCCGGAACAGGAGUAUAGCUCGGGGAAACUCGAAUUAAUCCUCCAUAAGAUCAUAGAGUAGCAUUACUUAGUGAUUAAAACUUAGGUGGUUCUGGAUGGGCAUGCGUCUGAUUAGCUAGUUGGCGGGGUAAAGGCCCACCAAGGCGGUGAUCAGUAGGGGAACUGAGAGGUUGAUCCCCCACACUGGCACUGAGAUACGGGCCAGACUCCUACGGGAGGCAGCAGUAGGGAAUAUUGGUCAAUGGAUGGAAGUCUGAACCAGCCAUGCCGCGUGCAGGAAGAAGGCCUUCUGGGUUGUAAACUGCUUUUGCCAGGGGAUAAAUAUCCUUGCGAGGGUAAUUGAAGGUACCUGGUGAAUAAGCCACGGCUAACUACGUGCCAGCCGCCG